rnacentral:rRNA from 1 species
CCUACGGGUGGCUGCAGUUUCGAAUCAUUCACAAUGGGCGAAAGCCUGAUGGUGCGACGCCGCGUGAGGGAUGAAGGCCUUCGGGUUGUAAACCUCUGUCACUGGGGAAGAAACGCUUCAAGUUAAUAGCUUGAAGCCUGACUUAACCCAGAGAGGAAGCAGUGGCUAACUCUGUGCCAGCAGCCGCGGUAAUACAGAGACUGCAAGCGUUAUUCGGUGCGACUGGGGCCGAGGGGUGCGGGUGCGGCCGCCCGGGGCUUAACCUCGGAAUUGCGCCUAAAACUACACGGCUAGAGCAUUGGAGAGGGUAGCGGAAUUCACGGUGUAGCAGUGAAAUGCGUAGAUAUCGUGAGGAACACCAGAGGCGAAGGCGGCUACCUGGACAAUUGCUGACGCUCAGGCACGAAAGCGUGGGGAGCAAAAGGGAUUAGAUACCCCAGUAGUC